rnacentral:pre_miRNA from 14 species
GCUGCUCUCUGGCGCCACCGCCCUGUGGGAUGAGGUAGUAGGUUGUUUAGUUAUUGGGCCGCACCCACCAAUGGGAGAGAACUACACAACCUACUGUCUCUCCUAAAGUGGCCGGAAUCUCCUCACGACCAC